rnacentral:rRNA from 1 species
GACGAACGCUGGCGGCGCGCUUAACACAUGCAAGUCGAACGGACACAUCCGACGGAAUAGCUUGCUAGGAAGAUGGAUGUUGUUAGUGGCGGACGGGUGAGUAACACGUGAGCAACCUACCUCAGAGUGGGGGACAACAGUUGGAAACGACUGCUAAUACCGCAUAAGCCCACAGCUCGGCAUCGAGCAGAGGGAAAAGGAGUGAUCCGCUUUGAGAUGGCCUCGCGUCCGAUUAGCUGGUUGGUGAGGUAACGGCCCACCAAGGCAACGAUCGGUAGCCGGACUGAGAGGUUGAACGGCCACAUUGGGACUGAGACACGGCCCAG